AUUGAACGCUGGCGGAAUGCUUUACACAUGCAAGUCGAACGGUAGAGGGGGCAACCCCUCGAGAGUGGCGAACGGGUGAGUAAUAUAUCGGAACGUGCCCAGUCGUGGGGGAUAACGUAGCGAAAGUUACGCUAAUACCGCAUACGAUCUAAGGAUGAAAGCGGGGGAUCGCAAGACCUCGCGCGAUUGGAGCGGCCGAUAUCAGAUUAGGUAGUUGGUGGGGUAAAGGCUCACCAAGCCAACGAUCUGUAGCUGGUCUGAGAGGACGACCAGCCACACUGGAACUGAGACACGGUCCAGACUCCUACGGGAGGCAGCAGUGGGGAAUUUUGGACAAUGGACUCAAGUCUGAUCCAGCCAUUCCGCGUGCAGGAUGAAGGCCCUCGGGUUCUAAACUGCUUUUGUACGGAACGAAAAGGUCUCUCUUAAUACGGGGGACUCAUGACGGUACCGUAAGAAUAAGCACCGGCUAACUACGUGCCAGCCGCCGCGGUAA
rnacentral:rRNA from 1 species